rnacentral:rRNA from 1 species
AAAUUGAAGAGUUUGAUCAUGGCUCAGAUUGAACGCUGGCGGCAGGCCUAACACAUGCAAGUCGAGCGGAAACGAGUUAGCUGAACCUUCGGGGAACGAUAACGGCGUCGAGCGGCGGACGGGUGAGUAAUGCCUAGGAAAUUGCCUUGAUGUGGGGGAUAACCAUUGGAAACGGUGGCGAAUACCGCAUAAUGCCUACGGGCCAAAGAGGGGGACCUUCGGGCCUCUUGCGUCAAGAUAUGCCUAGUUGGGAUUAGCUAGUUGGUGAGGUAAUGGCUCACCAAGGCGACGAUCCCUAGCUGGUCUGAGAGGAUGAUCAGCCACACUGGAACUGAGACACGGUCCAGACUCCUACGGGAGGCAGCAGUGGGGAAUAUUGCACAAUGGGCGAAAGCCUGAUGCAGCCAUGCCGCGUGUAUGAAGAAGGCCUUCGGGUUGUAAAGUACUUUCAGUUGUGAGGAAGGGGGUGUCGUUAAUAGCGGCAUCUCUUGACGUUAGCAACAGAAGAAGCACCGGCUAACUCCGUGCCAGCAGCCGCGGUAAUACGGAGGGUGCGAGCGUUAAUCGGAAUUACUGGGCGUAAAGCGCAUGCAGGUGGUUCAUUAAGUCAGAUGUGAAAGCCCGGGGCUCAACCUCGGAACUGCAUUUGAAACUGGUGAACUAGAGUACUGUAGAGGGGGGUAGAAUUUCAGGUGUAGCGGUGAAAUGCGUAGAG